rnacentral:rRNA from 1 species
GGCCUAACACAUGCAAGUCGAGCGCUGUAGCAAUACAGAGCGGCGCACGGGUGAGUAACACGUGGGAACGUGUCCAACGGUUCGGAAUAACUACGGGAAACUGUAGCUAAUACCGCAUACGCCCUACGGGGGAAAGGCUUCGGCCGCAUUUGGAUGAGCCCGCGUAAGAUUAGCUAGUUGGUGGGGUAAUGGCCUACCAAGGCUACGAUCUUUAACUGGUCUGAGAGGACGAUCAGUCACACUGGAACUGAGACACGGUCCAGACUCC